rnacentral:rRNA from 1 species
GAUGAACGCUGGCGGCGUGCCUAAUACAUGCAAGUCGAGCGAACGGACGAGAAGCUUGCUUCUCUGAUGUUAGCGGCGGACGGGUGAGUAACACGUGGAUAACCUACCUAUAAGACUGGGAUAACUUCGGGAAACCGUAGCUAAUACCGGAUAAUAUUUUGAACCGCAUGGUUCAAAAGUGAAAGACGGUCUUGCUGUCACUUAUAGAUGGAUCCGCGCUGCAUUAGCUAGUUGGUAAGGUAACGGCUUACCAAGGCAACGAUGCAUAGCCGACCUGAGAGGGUGAUCGGCCACACUGGAACUGAGACACGGUCCAGACUCCUACGGGAGGCAGCAGUAGGGAAUCUUCCGCAAUGGGCGAAAGCCUGACGGAGCAACGCCGCGUGAGUGAUGAAGGACUUCGGAUCGUAAAACUCUGUUAUUAGGGAAGAACAUAUGUGUAAGUAACUGUGCACAUCUUGGCGGUACCUAAUCAGAAAGCCACGGCUAACUACGUG